rnacentral:rRNA from 1 species
GUAGGGAAUAUUGGGCAAUGGAUGCAAGUCUGACCCAGCCAUCCCGCGUGCCGGAAGAAGGCCCUCAGGGUUGUAAACGGCUUUUGACGGUGAAGAAUCGACAGGAUGCGUCCUGUUUUGACGGUAGCCGUUGAAUAAGCACCGGCUAACUCCGUGCCAGCAGCCGCGGUAAUACGGAGGGUGCGAGCGUUGUCCGGAUUUAGUGGGUUUAAAGGGUGCGUAGGCUGGAAGGUCAGUCAGCGGUGAAAAGCUAUCGCUUAACGAUAGUCUUGCCGCAGAUACUUCCUUUCUUGGAUGAGGAGGAGGCCACUGGAACGGAUGGUGUAGCGGUGAAAUGCAUAGAUAUCAUCCAGAACACCGAUUGCGAAGGCAGGUGGCUGUACCUUAAUCGACGCUGAUGCACGAAAGCAUGGGGAGCAAACAGGAUUAGAAACCCGUGUAGUCC